AGUUAAUAAGCUUAAAGCAAUAUGUUUUGAAAACAUAAGAUAGGAAUUCAUCUUCCUAUUAACUU
rnacentral:tRNA from 1 species